AAUAUCUAAAAGGUGUAUGCUAUAGUUACUUUUCUGAUCCAAGACUAAUUUCAAGCCUAUAGUCUCUGAACCUUAGACCAAAAAAUAACUUUGGUGUAUACUAUUUAAAUGUCCAGAUAAGAAAAUGAGCAAAUUAUGUUACUUCAGUUUACAGAAAACCAAUGAGUGACACAAGUAUCAUACCAAAGUGGUUGAAUGACCUGAUUAAAUAUAAAAAAGCAACCUUUAGGAUAUAUUUUAAGAGGCUGUUGACACAUUGCUUGAUAGAUGAAGAAAAGAGAGAGAGAAGGAAUUUAUCUUCAAAGAAUGUAGAAGGCAUGGUAUAUAAUAAUUUUAUCCAGAAGAUUUGUGAUACAGGUGAUUCAAAAUAUAAAUGGGACAAUAACAGACAUGUCAUGUAAUGUAUGACUAUUCUCU
rnacentral:lncRNA from 1 species